GUCUGAGUCCAAACCAUGUUUCCAAACAGAGUAAACUUUCCGUGACCCGCAAAUUAUAUUUUUAACUGGUUUGCUUUUGGCGCAAUAUUCUGAUGUUUAGGCUAACACUGUUUUUAACGGCGUCAGCUUCUUAUAUUUAUUGGGCUACAAACACUAAACAGUUGUCUUUUAUUUUCUGAGGAGAUUUUCUGACCUGGGUAAUGUAAAUGAAGUUUGUUACUUUAUAGUAGGCUAGUAUUUGACUAAAACUGCAUAAAUCAAAUCUUAAUCAUAGAUGUACCGAUUGUAAAUAAUUUUUUUUGCUGACGAAGUCUUUUCUAACUUUUGGGUGUUCAUCAAUAGUGGUUUUGAUUUUUCACUUGGAUUGGUGGAAGAAGGUACCAUACAAUACUAUACUACUGUACUGUGUUAGAUUGUUCAGCGUAAAUUGGUUUCAAAGACCUUUCCAGUACGCCACGGUAUUCAGUAUAAUCUAAGGAAAUUAAAACAGAAGAAAAGUAUAGAAAAUAUUUCCAAUUAUCUAUCUUGAGAUCACAGAGAUUGAAUGCUGCAGGUCUUGUGUUUAGUGUAUAGACUAAUUGGUGGAUGUUAUUAACAUUAACCUUUUAGCAAAGGUUAGCUUGAUGAUGUUACUGACUUUGCAGUGUAGUGGAAGAUGUUAACCUAACUUUGGUAGACAACAAGCCUAACCCUGAAGUCAACGAUGUACAAUAUGUCAGUGUCACGGUUCCACUACCAAACGUAACGCGAAUAUAAACAAUACUUACGGGUACAUGUCUUUAAUUUGAUUGAAAUGAGGUCAACUUAAAAAUUUGUGUAGAUG